UGAGUCAGCUAAAGCCCCAGUUGAUACUGAUCGCAUUGACCAUAUGUUGACGGUUUCUUCGAGUAAUACUGAUAACAUAUUAGAUAGAAAAUAUACAGAACUGAAAGAUUUUGAUCCUUGUAAUACUUACCCAUCAGAUCGUGGACAUUUCAAAAACGAGUUAUCUAACAACUUAAUUGAAGUUCUAGCGAGGCAUGGCAGUUGCCAACCGAGUAAAAUGAUUAAAAUCGAGAGUGGACAGACAUUUAAUCCUGCACAUUAUUAUUAUAGGGACUGGUUUAGCUGCUCAGAGAAACUAGGCACUGUAUAUUGUCACAAUUGCUGGUUGCUGGCACGGA